rnacentral:rRNA from 1 species
AUGCAACCCUCCCCAGGCGGCGCCCCCAAGGAAGAACACGUCGCACAGCGCGCCGUCACCGCCCAAUCCAUGCCGGAUUUUGGGCUUUCACCCGGGAGGAGGAACAGGGGUGGAAAGGGGAAGGGCCUCUGCAGCACCUCCAAGGAGGAGACGGCGUCGGGGACGUCGCUGCUGCCAGGCCGGCCACGCCGGCCAACGGUUUCCCGCGGCCCAAAACCAGACCACCGGUCACCCACCCACAUCAUACCAGCGCUCGGAGGGAGGCAGGCGAGAAGCGGCGGGGACGAGGAAGACAGGGGAAAGGAGCCACCCUCAGAUCUGACGAGGAGGGGAGACCUCCGCGCCGCCGCCGCCACCCGCCGACGCCUCACCACCCGCGUGGUCGAGGCCGCCGGCCAGAGCACACCCGCGAACGACGCCGGUCGAGAAAGUGCCACCGCCUCGCCGAGAAGGGCCGCCGCCCCAGAUCCGAGGUCCUCCUCGAGGAAAGGAGCGACCGAGGCCUCGCCGCCACCUUCACGGGCAGCCGCACGCGCGGAUCCGGCGGCUAACUCGGGUGGCGGCGAGGGAGGGAGGGCGCGGCGGCGGCGGCCGGAGCCCGCCGGAGCCGCCAGCCCCUUCCCCCUGCCCCUCCCGUUCCCCUUCUCCUCCCCCCUCCAUUCCCCGUACCCCCGCGCCGCCUCCCCGAGCGAGGCGGCCGGGGGCCCUUCCACAGCGCCCCUCCAGCUAUCCCCCGCGUCCCUCCCUCCUCCCGCCGCCGUCAGCGUGCGCCGCCGGUCCUCGGCCGCGUGGUGCUGGCGGCAGUGGGCAUGCCCUUCCCCGCACGCGGCCGUCCCCUGCUUGGGAGUUGAUGGCCGGCUUCGGUGCUGCCCGUCGGCGGUGAUGCCGCGGGCCGCGGUGGUUCUUGACACGGCGGUGCGGCCGUUGGCCGUGGGGCUGUGCGGUGCCGCUGGUCUUGGCGGCGCCCGCCCUGCCCAGAUCUGGGCCAUUGGGCCAUCCGGGUUGGGCGGGCCGGUGGCUCGGCGUUCAGCGGCGUCGUUCCCUGGUGGUGGCGUGGUGGCGGUGGUCUCGGGCGGCAAGGAUGACAAGGACAUGGGUCAUAGAGGCAACGAAGGCAAAGGCAUGGAUGAUAAGGACAAUGAUUUCGUAGCCAUGGACCCGAAAGGAAUGGAUGGUGUGUGCAUGGAUGAUAAGGAUAAUGAGGAUGCAGGCAAGGAUGGCAUAGACAUGGAUGAUGUACACAUGCAAGGUAAAGGAACUGAUAAUAAAGGCAUGGCUGGUUCAGACCUGAAUGAGUGUAUGGAAUACUUAGAGAUUGUGAAGACGACGUUCAGGACUGAGGAAGAAGCCUACAUGUUCUAUGUUGAGCUACAAGAUAGCAGUGGCCUCUGGUUCGUCAAGAAUUUUGUGGACAAGCAUAACCAUCUGUUUGUCCAUGCUGACCUGACUCCGUACUUAUCGGCUCAUCGUAGAAUGACUGACGCACAAAAGGCCGAUGUCAUCGAGUAUGCUGUCGGUGGACUUCGAACACAUCAGAUUAUGAAUGUAAAGCGCCAGAUUGUCGAAGGGACAAAUUGGCAGGUCAUGGACCGGGUAGCAUGUGAUGGUUUGGUCGUGUUUGGAGUUUUGCGCAAAGCCCCAUAUGAUAAAGUCCCAUAUGGAAGGGAUGCUAGAGAAUUGCAAGGUAAGGAAGGUAAGUAUGCUGAGGACUUGCAUGCAAAAAAAUUGGAUGCUAAGGAUCCCAAUGACUUGGAAGGUAAGGAUGAUGAGGACUUGCAUGCAAAAAACUUGGAUGCUGAGGAUCCCAAUGACUUGGAAGGUAAGGAUGCUAAGGACUUGCAUGCAAAAAACUUGGAUGCUGAGGACCCCAAUGACUUGGAAGGCAAGGAUGGUGUGGACUUGCAUGCUAAAAACCUGGAUGCUAAGGAUCCCAAUCACUUGGAAGCUAAGGACAGUGAGGAGUUGGAUGCAAAAAAGUUGGAUGCACAAGGCGUGGAUGCUAAGCCUAUGGAUUUUAUCUACCACGUGACUUGUCUGUUUACAGGAGCAAGACUGGAUGAUGCAGCUUGUAAAUGAAAAAAUCGGGGAAAUCAAAUAGCACAAGGAGGAAGAAGCAAAAAAGAAGAGACAGAGUCUGAUACAGAAGAAGAGACAGAGGCAGAUACAGAAGAAGAGACAGAGGCAGAUACAGAAGAAGAGGAUGAUUCAGGUACAAAACAAGAGGAAGAUUCAGAUGCAGAAGAAGAGGGAGAUUCAGAUGCAGAAGAAGAGGGAGAUUCAGAUGAGGAAGAAGAGGAAGAUUCAGAUGCAGAAGAUGGUGGGCUGAGGAGGGCUAGAAAGAGACCAUUGGAGGUUGCAGAAGAGGAUUACACAAAACCAAACAAGAAACGCAAGGGCACUCCAAAUGUCAAUGCUGGGAGGACAAAAAAGAACAAUGACAAGGGAAAAACUCUAGUAAGGGUGGUAAAGAACAGGCCAAAGGGGUGA